GAAAUCAUGGAAUGUCCAAGUUGGAGAAGACUUAGCAAUCUUCUGGUCUAACACUGCCCAAGAAAGGACAUCCAAUGACAGCUGCCAUCCCAACAUGUGCUCACCAUCCUCAGCUUGCCCUCCUCACAGGGAUGCCCACCACACAAGAACAACAGGAACCAAACAGGGAAGCAUUUAUAACUCAGGAUCUCUAAGAAGAGAUAGAAGUAGUUAAUAUGGAACCAAAACCAUGUGAGUCAAAUGCUGAAGAUCUUUUAUCAAGUAGUGGCAUCACAUCCAACAGAGGUCCUUCAAGCUCAUUUUUUGUGUCAUCUGUUCGUGGUACAGUAAUUGAAAACACAGCUUCAACUGGGACUUUCACACAGAUUCCUAUUUUCCCAAAAUAUGAAGUGGAACUUGAUUCUCCUAGAAAAAUCAUUGCUUAUCCAGGGAAGGAACAUAUUGAACGUGUUUUGGAAGAAUAUUCACAUCAAGUCAAAGAUUUGCAGAGAAGGCUAAAUGAAGUAGAAGAUCAACUUGAAACACUGAAAGCUGAAUCACAGAACAAAAUAGAACUACUACUGCAACAACAUCAAGACAGAGAACAAGCAAGAAACCAAAACUCAAUGUAUAUGUGUCAUCUCAGUGAACUGGAAUCUACUGUUUCUCAGCUGCGUUCUGAAUUAAGGGAAGCCAAAAGGAUGUAUGAAGACAAGAUAGAAGAGCUGGAGAAGCAGUUAGUCCUGGCCAACUCAGAGCUCACUGAAGCACGCACAGAACGGGACCAAUUCAGUCAGGAAUCUGGAAAUCUGGAUGAUCAGCUUCAAAAGCUAUUGGCAGAUCUACACAAGAGGGAAAAGGAGCUGAGUCUGGAGAAGGAGCAGAACAAGCGUCUGUGGGACCGAGACAUGGGCAACAGCAUCACCAUUGACCACCUGCGGCGGGAGCUGGAUGACCGGAACAUGGAGGUGCAGCGCCUGGAGGCCCUGCUCAAGACCAUGAAGAGCGAGUGCCAGGGCCAGAUGGAGCAGCAGAUGGCAGCGAUCCAGGGAAAGAAUGAGAGUCUGGAGAAAGUGUCCUCCCUCACUGCUCAGCUCGAGUCCACCAAGGAGAUGCUGCGCAAAGUGGUGGAAGAGCUAACAGCCAAGAAGAUGACCCUGGAGAACUCGGAGAGGACGGUAUCAGACCUGACAGCUUCCCUGCAGGAGAAAGAGCGUGCCAUAGAGGCUACCAACUCAGAAAUCACUAAGCUUCGCUCCCGCGUGGACUUGAAACUGCAGGAGCUGCAGCACCUAAAGACUGAGGAGGAGCACCUGCAGCAUGCACAGACUGAGUGCGAGGCCCUGCGGCUGCAGAUGGCAGGGAAGGACAAAGUGAUCGAGAUUCUGCGCCAGCAGAUUGAAAACAUGAUGCAGCUGGUGGGCCAGCAUGGACGCACAGCGGGGGCUAUACUGGUAGAAAAGGCCCAGCUGGAGAAAGAGAUAAAUGAUAGGAGACUGGAGCUGCAGGAGUUUAAGGUUUUAAAAGAUAAGAAAGAUGCCAAGAUUCGGGAGCUUGAGGCCAAAGUGAGUGACCUGGAAUUGGAAAAGGUGAAACUGGUGAAUGCAGGCUCUGAGCGGCUCCGGGCUGUGAGGGACAUCAAACAGGAGAGGGAUCAGUUACUAAAUGAGGUGAAGAACAGCAGGAGCGAGCUGAACAAUCUUUCAGAGGACUAUGAAGUCUUAAAAAGAAAUUUUCGAAACAAGAGUGAGGAAAUGGAAACUACUACAAAUAAACUGAAAAUGCAAUUAAAAUCUGCGCAGUCUGAACUAGAGCAAACAAGGAAUACCCUAAAGUCAAUGGAAGGAGCUGAUGGUCAUGCUGUGAAAGUGGCAGUGGGUAUGCAAAAGCAAAUCACAGCCAAAAGAGGUCAGAUAGAUGCCCUUCAAAGCAAGAUCCAGUUUUUGGAAGAGGCCAUGACAAAUGCAAAUAAGGAGAAACAUUUUUUGAAAGAAGAGAAGAAUAAACUCAGCCAGGAACUGAGCACUGUUGCAACUGAAAAAAACAAGAUGGCUGGGGAGCUGGAAGUUCUGCGGUCUCAGGAACGCCGCUUGAAAGAAAAGGUUGCUAAUAUGGAAGUUGCUCUUGAUAAGUUUGCAGAAUGUCAAGAUAUAAUACAGCGUCAGGAGCAGGAAUCUGUACGCCUAAAACUUCAGCACACUUUGGAUGUAAAAGAGCUUCAGGGUCCUGGAUUUACUUCAAAUUCUUCAAUGAAACCACGCCUGCUCCAGCCAGCCUCUUUUACCCGUACCCAUUCUAAUGUACCGUCUUCCCAGUCUACAGCCAGCUUCCUCUCGCAUCACUCCAGGAAGACCACUGCACUGAAGGAAGACCCCACGAAGGACCUGAAACAGCUCUUGCAGGAGCUGAGAAGCGUGAUCAAUGAGGAGCCAACUGUGCAGCUGAGCAAGGCAGAGGACAAAGGGAGAGCACCAUCGCUGGGGGCCUUGGAUGAUAGGGUAAGAGAUUGCAUUAUCGAAUCAAGCCUGAGAUCAGACAUAUGUCAUAGGACUUGUGCGGAGCAGAGUCAUGCUCGCCACCCUGAUCGUAUGAUCUCAGCCUUCACAUGUGCCAGGGAGCCAGUUCUGUUACAUGCAGAACUGGAAGAUCCAUCUAGUUGCUUCACAUUCCCUUCUACAGCAAGCCCAUCUGUGAAAAAUUCAGCUUCCCGAUCAUUCACUUCCCCUAAGAAGUCUCCAGUGCACUCACUGCUCACGAGUUUGGCUGAAGAUUCAGUAGGUUCCUCACCACAGUACGGAUCCACCAAAACCAUUCCCUCACCCGAUUCUGCUAAAGAUUCACAGUCUCUGCCAGUAGAAACAACAGGGAAAACAUGCAGGAAACUUCAGAACAGACUGGAAAGCUUGCAAACCCUGGUAGAAGAUUUGCAGCUGAAGAACCAAGGUACAGUGCAUUUUUGGAGGGGACUUUUUGUUUAUAAUACUUCCCUUCCCUUCAGGUUAAGCCUUCUGUCUAUUGUCCCACUCAGAAGCCACUGAAUCUGCAAUUCAGAAACCUUACUCAAAACAUGAGGGUUCAAACCCUAGUGCAUGACCAGGCCCUGGUUUAAUUGUCGGACCCUGGACCCUGGGCAGGUCCUGGUAGCCCUACCCUCCUCUAACAGGGCAAUAAUCCUGCCAGCCAGCCCUCAACUAGGGUUGCUUUUUCAUGUGCAACUUGCCCACACACACUUUCUUGUCCCUGUUUUCUCUGUAGACAAGCAUCUGUAUGAUGGUUGCCAAGAUAGAAUUAUAGUCCAUAGCCAAAAAAACAAAAUAACGGUAUUUAGCUGACAUGGAAUGUAAAUGAACAUAGUGGCAUAAGAGACUAUGCCACCCAGUGAAUCACAAAAUAGAAAGAUAAGCCACUUCUAAAAAUACUAAAGCCAUUUGCAUGGAAGCUGUUAGAAUCUGCAGUGACGGCCAGCCCUUUGGCUUAAGUUCUGAGGGCCAUGAAUAUGGGAGAGCUAUUGUAUUUCCUCCUUUUCUGACAUAAAUUCUUCAAUCUGGAAGUCUUUUUCAGAGAGACUGAUAUUGGAGUACAUCUGUUAUUCUACCUUUCCAUCCCUAGAGAAUGUGAGUUGCUAGGUGAUAUUUUUUAAAGAAUAAAUACUUAUAAAAUAAAUUUAGUCUUAUUGCUAAUAAUAGUUACUGCAAGCAUUUACUGAGUACUUCUUGCAUGCCAGGCCCUGUGAUUUUCUCCCUGUUGUCCUCACAGUAACUCUGGGAGGUGGGUGCUGCUGUUAUUGUCAUAUGAAAAUGAGGAAACUGAGGGAAGAGCAGUAUCAGAGUUCUGUGUCACACAAUGAGUAGUAGAGCUGGGGCUUGACUCCUAUAAUUUCUGACUCCAAAAUUCACAUUUUCUUAGUGCACUGAGGUUAUACAGUAUCAUGUUUUUAUUCAGAAAAUUCCAAAUCCUUUCUGAUAGCACCAGCUCCCUGUGUAUGUAAACAUUAAGAUAAAAGUUUCAUCUUUAGUUUAUUGUGAGGUGGUUUUUACUCUUUAAGGAAGAUGCAUUAUUUCAUUAGCCCUAUUUUUAAUUCACACUUUGACUUGUAUUUCUGAGUUAUCUGAUCAGUGCCAUUCUCUAAUAAUCCAAAUGGAAGACAUGUUAUAUUUGCUUAAAAUGUGUAAGUACUUUUGUAUUGGAUGCAAUCCCUGGGUGGGAUGUUCUAUGGAAAUUACGAACAAACAUUUUUGGAAAAAAUUUCAGAAACAUUUAUCAAAAUGUAAAGUACAGGGCUUGGGGUAUAUUGCAGUGACAAAGCAUUCACCCAGCACAUGCAGGACCCUGGGCUUGAUCCUCAGCAUCAGAAAAAACAAAAACACUGCACCAAAGUAAGUGGACUCUUUGAGUUAGAAAUUCCAGUCUUAGCAAUUUAUUUUACAAGAAAUGAUAGUAAAAAACACAGAAGUCUAUAUAAAAAGUAUUUACCAUAGCAUUAUCUAUUAAAAAAAUAAGAAAUCAGCCUUUAAAAAAUUUAUUUCAUAGGGUUGGGGAUUUAGCUCAGUGGUUUUGCCACCUGCUGCGCAAGCGCAAGGACCCGAGUUCGAUCCCUGGCACCAAAAAAAAAAAACCAACAAAAAUUUAUUUAAUAAAUAAUUAUUAGUAAAUAAAUUUUUAAAGGUGUAUUUGUGCAAUGAAAUAUUGCACAAUCAGAAUAAAACAUGAGAAAGAUGUUGAUAUCUAGUUAAGUGAAAAAAGUAAACUACACAUACCUGCAUUUGUGUAAAGAAGAAAACUUGUGCGUGUUGGACAUAAAUUUUCCAAUGUCACAAACAAUACAAAAUAAACCAGACUUUUGAAAAGAUUUUCGGCAAGGCUUUACUUCUACAGAAGGGUGUGUCGUUAUGCUAUACAAAGCCAGCCAGCACACAUAAGUAGUCUGCUGGGGUUUUAUUCCCUGAUGCACCAGGCCGUGCCUGUGGUGAGAGUGUAGCCUUACAGUCUAACCCGAUUGGCCAGUUCUUACGGUGCCGGUGCCAUAGAACAGAGUCUGUGACUCAGGAAUCUCUUUGUUGGAUACAAAAAUUUACGGCCGGUGGACUGGGGCGUGCCCCUUUGUCUUUAAAUUGUCUUGCUAAGGAAUGAUGAAACAAGCACGUGUACAUUUUACAAAAAUAGAGAUUUGUAUAAAAGAGUUAUCUUAAAUAUUCCCUUUAACAGAAAAGACUACCUUUCUCACGUGUGUGCAGAAAUUCAUCAAACUCUCUACAGAAUGACCUCUGUCCCAGCAGACAAGGGAGCGGAGACAAAGACUGACUUUUCUCUCUCUUUGUACCCUCCUGAAGUGUUAGAAUUAUGUAUUCUUUUAUAAUAAUUACCUUCAUCUGAUCUUAUCCUGCAUGUUUGAACAACUGAAAAGUAAAUGUUUACUCUUACAUAUGUUCCCUAACACCAAUCUUUUUAAAAAUAUGCCAGACGAGUUUGAUCCCUUGUACCAAAAAAAAAUAAUAAAAACUAAAUAAAUAUAUAUAUGCACCACACUAAUGUUUAAGAACUUCUUGAGUUUAAAAUGUAUUUAUUCUAUUCUAACAAGCAGAUCAUUUAAGAACCGCAUAAUAGAAUUUUGCUAUUCUGACUUUAUUUCAUCAACAUUUUCAGCAAUGUCUUUGAUGAUCAGAAAUCAAGAAAAGAGGAUACAGAAGGUGAAGGACCAGGAAAAAAUGUUACUAAAGUGACACCUCACUUGCCUGUCUUUACAGAGGGAUGAUGCCUUAUCCAUUGUGAUGUUACUUAUAAUUAGUGCCCUGUGUACUUUUUUCUUUUUAUGUGAAAAUUUAAUAAAAGAUACCCUGUCCUGUAAACUCUGUCUCGAGAGUUUUGAAAUAAACUAUCCCUGAAUGCUUUCACACUAAAAACUUUUUUUUUCUAUUAUGUUUAUUGGUACGUUAGGUAUACAGUACAGUUACAUUCAUCAUUGGGAUCUGGUACCUUUACAUGAUGUAUCUUGGUUCUUAUUUUUC
rnacentral:lncRNA from 1 species